CAUCUGUGAGUUUUCUGAGAGUGUCUCACAUCUAAAACUCCUUUUCCUACUUCUCAUCUUUGGAAGAGUCUAAAUCAAGAAGAAGGAGGCAUCUGAUCAACCAUCGAAGAAGGAUCAGCAUAGUGCUAGCAUACUGUGCUGAUUUCUUGGACCAGGACUUCUGAUCGUGAUUCAUGUGCUCGUGUGGAUGACUUCUAGAGGUUGGACACAUGUGCAACUCACAACAU
rnacentral:lncRNA from 1 species